rnacentral:rRNA from 1 species
GAAUUCAACUCCUACGGGAGGCAGCAGUGAGGAAUAUUGGUCAAUGGGCGAGAGCCUGAACCAGCCAAGUAGCGUGCAGGAUGACGGCCCUAUGGGUUGUAAACUGCUUUUAUAAGGGAAUAAAGUGAGUCUCGUGAGACUUUUUGCAUGUACCUUAUGAAUAAGGACCGGCUAAUUCCGUGCCAGCAGCCGCGGUAAUACGGAAGGUCCGGGCGUUAUCCGGAUUUAUUGGGUUUAAAGGGAGCGUAGGCCGGAGAUUAAGCGUGUUGUGAAAUGUAGACGCUCAACGUCUGCACUGCAGCGCGAACUGGUUUCCUUGAGUACGCACAAAGUGGGCGGAAUUCGUGGUGUAGCGGUGAAAUGCUUAGAUAUCACGAAGAACUCCGAUUGCGAAGGCAGCUCACUGGAGCGCAACUGACGCUGAAGCUCGAAAGUGCGGGUAUCGAACAGGAUUAGAAACCCUAGUAGUCCAGGCGUU